rnacentral:rRNA from 1 species
GUGCCAGCCGCCGCGGUAAUACGUAGGGUGCGAGCGUUAAUCGGAAUUACUGGGCGUAAAGCGUGCGCAGGCGGUUUUGUAAGACAGGCGUGAAAUCCCCGGGCUCAACCUGGGAACUGCGCUUGUGACUGCAAGGCUAGAGUAUGGCAGAGGGGGGUGGAAUUCCACGUGUAGCAGUGAAAUGCGUAGAGAUGUGGAGGAACACCAAUGGCGAAGGCAGCCCCCUGGGCCAAUACUGACGCUCAUGCACGAAAGCGUGGGUAGCAAACAGGAUUAGAUACCCUGGUAGUCCACGCCCUAAACGAUGUCAACUAGGUGUUGGGUGGGUAAAACCAUUUAGUACCGUAGCUAACGCGUGAAGUUGACCGCCUGGGGAGUACGGCCGCAAGGUUAAAACUCAAAGGAAUUGACGGGGACCCGCACAAGCGGUGGAUGAUGUGGAUUAAUUCGAUGCAACGCGAAAAACCUUACCUACCCUUGACAUGUCCGGAAGCCUGAAGAGAUUUGGGUGUGCCCGAAAGGGAACUGGAACACAGGUGCUGCAUGGCUGUCGUCAGCUCGUGUCGUGAGAUGUUGGGUUAAGUCCCGCAACGAGCGCAACCCUUGUCGUUAAUUGCCAUCAUUCAGUUGGGCACUUUAACGAGACUGCCGGUGACAAACCGGAGGAAAGGUGGGGAUGACGUCAAGUCCUCAUGGCCCUUAUGGGUAGGGCUUCACACGUCAUACAAUGGUCGGUACAGAGGGUUGCCAAGCCGCGAGGUGGAGCCAAUCCCAGAAAGCCGAUCGUAGUCCGGAUUGCAGGCUGCAACUCGCCUGCAUGAAGUCGGAAUCGCUAGUAAUCGCGGAUCAGCAUGUCGCGGUGAAUACGU